ensembl:lncRNA
CAAAAGGUCAAGCCGCAUAAUAGAUUUAUAGCUUUUUCUGAGAGUAAAAAAAAUAUAUAAAAUCAAAGGGUAGGUUUUUUGAGAAAAUAAGCUUUGUGUUAUGUGUGGGGCAGUUAGAUGGGUUCACCAGAUGUGUUUUGAUAUGGGUAGGUCAAAAGGUCAAGCCGCAUAAUAGAUUUAUAGCCUUUUUUAACAUUAAAAAAAUAGUAUAAAAUCAAAAGGUGGGUUUUGGAAAAAUAAGUUUUGUGUUAUGUGUGGGGCAGUUAGAUGGGUUCAUCAUACUUGUUUUGAUAUGGGUAGGUCAAAAGGUCAAGCCGCAUAAUAGAUUUAUAGCCUUUUUUAACAUUAAAAAAAUUGUAUAAAAUCAAAAGGUGGGUUUUUGGAAAAAAUAAGCUUUGUGUUAUGUGUGGGGCAGUUAGCUGAGUUCACCAGAUGUGUUUUGAUAUGGGUAGGUCAAAAGGUCAAGCCGCAUAAUAGAUUUAUAGCCUUUUUUAACAUUAAAAAAAUUGUAUAAAAUCAAAAGGUGGGUUUUUGGAAAAAAGAAGCUUGG